UACGGGGGGGGCAAGCGUUGUUCGGAAUUACUGGGCGUAAAGGGCUCGUAGGCGGCCAACUAAGUCGGAUGUGAAAUCCCCAAGCUUAACUUGGGAACUGCAUCUGAUACUGGAUGGCUUGAGUUCGGGAGAGGGAUGCGGAAUUCCAGGUGUAGCGGUGAAAUGCGUAGAUAUCAAGCGGAACACCGGUGGCGAAGGCGGCCUUCUGGACAAUGACUGACGCUAAAACGCGAAAGCGUGGGGAGCAAACAGG
rnacentral:rRNA from 1 species